GACGAACGCUGGCGGCGUGCUUAACACAUGCAAGUCGAGCGGUAAGGUCCUUUCGGGGGUACACGAGCGGCGAACGGGUGAGUAACACGUGGGUGACCUGCCCUCAGCUCUGGGAUAAGCCUGGGAAACCGGGUCUAAUACCGGAUAUGACUCCAUGACGCAUGUUGUGGGGUGGAAAGCCUUGUGCGGCUGAGGAUGGGCCCGCGGCCUAUCAGCUUGUUGGUGGGGUGAUGGCCUACCAAGGCGACGACGGGUAGCCGGCCUGAGAGGGCGACCGGCCACACUGGGACUGAGACGCGGCCCAGACUCCUACGGGAGGCAGCAGUGGGGAAUCUUGCGCAAUGGGCGAAAGCCUGACGCAGCGACGCCGCGUGAGGGAUGACGGCCU
rnacentral:rRNA from 1 species